rnacentral:tRNA from 1 species
GGGCAGGUUCCAGAGCGGCCAAAUGGGGCGGACUGUAAAUCCGCUGUCAGCGACUUCGGUGGUUCGAAUCCACCCCUGCCCACCA